UUUGCUGAAUUGUUUAGAAGGUGUCAGAGUAACAGGCUUCUAAAAACUGUAACGGCACAACUUGCAUAUAGGUAAUUAGAGAUGCCAGAGGGAUUCAGAUACAUUGGUUAUGUUCAUAGACUCAUAGACUUUAAGGUCAGAAGGGACCAUUAUGAUCAUCUAGUCUGACCUCCCGCGUGAUGCAGGCCACAAAAGCUGACCCAACCCCUUUCCCUUGACUCUGUUGUUGAAGUCCCCAAAUUCUGUGAUUUAAAGACUUCAAGUCGCAGAGAAUCCUCCAGCUAGGGAACCCCGCCCAUGCUGUGGAGGAAGGCGAAAAACCUCCAGGACGUCUGCCAAUCCACCCUGGAGGAAAAUUCCUUCCCAACCCCAAAUAUGGCGAUCAGUAGAACCCCGAGCAUGCAGGCAAGAUUCUCCAGCCAGACCCUCAUUGGCCAUUGAUACUAUAUACCAGCGAUGGCACGCUGUUAAUUUGACUAAAAUAACGUUAUCCCAUUAAACCAUUCCCUCCAUAAACUUAUCUAGCUUAAUCUUAAAGCCAGACAGGUCCUUCGCCCCCACCAUUUCCCUCGGAAGACUGUUCCAAUAUUUCACCCCUCUGACGGUCAGAAACCUUAGUCUAAUUUCAAGCCUAAACUUCCCCACGGCCAGUUUAUAUCCAUUCGUUCUCGUGUCCACAUUAGUACUGAGCUGAAAUAAUUCCUCUCCCUCCCUGGUAUUUAUCCCUCUGAUAUAUUUAAAGAGAGCAAUUGUAUCUCCCCUCAGCCUUCUUUUGGUCAGGCUAAACAAACCGAGCUCCUCGAGUCUCCUUUCAUACGACAGGUUUUCCAUUCCUCUGAUCAUCCUAGUGGCCCUUUUCUGUACCCGUUCCAGUUUGAGUUCAUCCUUUUUAAACAUGGGAGACCAGAACUGCACACAGUACUCCAAAUGAGGUCUCACCAGCGCCUUGUACAACGGAAGCAGCACCUCCUUAUCCCUACUAGAUAUACCUCACCUAAUGCAUCCCAAGACCACAUUGGGUUUUUUCACCGCUACGUCACAUUGCCGACUCAUAGUCGUCCCUCUGUCUACCAGAACUCUGAGGUCUUUCUCUUCCUCUGUUACUUCCCACCGAUGCGUCCCCAGUUUGUAACGAAAUUUCUUGUUAGUCAUCCCUAAAUGCAUCACCUUACACUUUUCACUAUUAAAUUUCAUCCUAUUUCUGUUACUCCAAUUUACAAGGUCAUUCAAGUCUCCCUGCCGAAUAUCCCGAUCUUCCUCCGUAUUGGCAAUACCUCCCAACUUUGUGUCAUCCGCAAACUUUAUCAGCCCACUCCUACAUUUGGUUCCGAGGUCAGUAAUAAAUAGAUUAAAUAAAAUGGGACCCAAAACCGAACCUUGAGGAACUCCACUGGUGACCUCCCUCUAACCUGACAGUUCACCUUUCAGUACGACUGGUGAAGUCUCCCCAAUAACCAGUUCCUUAUCCACCUUUGGAUUUUCAUAUUGAUCCCCAUCUUUUCCAAUUUAACCAAUAAUUCCUCGUGCGGUACCAUAUCAAACGCUUUACUGAAAUAGAGGUAUAUUAGGUCCACCACAUUUCCCUUAUCUAAUAAGUCUGUUACUUUCUCAAAGAAGGAGAUCAGAUUGGUUUGGCACGAUCUGCCUUUGGUAAAACCAUGUUGUAAUUUGUCGCAAUUGCCAUUGACCUCAAGGUCCUCAACUUCUUUCUCCUUCAAAAUUUUCUCCAGGACCUUGCACACUACAGAUGUUAAACUGACAGGCCUGUGGUUACCUGGGUCACUUUUUUUCCCUUUCUUGAAAAUAGGAACCACAUUAGCUAUUCUCCAGUCCAAUGGUAUCACCCCCAAGUUUAGAUUCAUUAAAAAUUUUCGCUAAGGGGCCUGCUAUUUCUCACGCCAGUUCCUUCAAUGUUCUCGGAUGAAGAUCAUCUGGUCUGCCUGACUUAGUCCCGUUAAGGUGUUCAAGUUUGGCUUCUACCUCGGAUACGGUAAUCCCUCCUCCUUUAUUCCCCUCUGUCACACUGCCACUAUUCCUAAUCCCUUCAUUUGCCUCAUUAAAGACCGAUGCAAAAUAUUAGUUUAGAUAUUGUGCCAUGCCUAGAUUAUCCUUAAUCUCCACUCCAGCUACAGUCUUCAGCGGUCCCACUUCUUGUUUUCUUCCUAUUUAUAUGGCUAUAAAACCUCUUACUAUUGGUUUUAAUUCCCCUUGCAAGGUCCAACUCUACACGGCUUUUGGCCUCUCUCACUCCAUCUCUACAUGCUCUGGCCUCAAUAAGGUGAUCAGAAUCUUUUAACCAGCAGUGUGUGUUUGGGGCUGUGGAUGUGCCCUGUAUGUCUUCACACCACCCCUCUUGAGGGUGCAGCAUCCCCAUCUGCAUAUAGAACAUCUUGAAGAACCUCAGUUACUUUAAGCUCUUCUCUUCCAAUUUAUUACCAUCGUUCCUGAAUUGUGGACACAGCUGCACCAGUGCUAAUGAGGUAAUACAAGGUUCCUACUCCUGCCUGUAGAUCCAAGGAUUGCAUAAGAUUUUUUUGGCUACGGCAGUGUUCAUGUUCAUCUGAAUAUCCACAAAACUCUUGAGUCACUGCAUCCCAGGAUCAAGUCCCCCAUUGUGAGAUGUUCAAAUUAGGUGACGCAUAUGGCAAAGGGACCCAUGAAAUGGAUGUUAAAAUAAACUGCAUUGAUGCCUAUUGCGGUCCUUCUGCAAUCAAUAUCCAGUACCAGAGAGGAAGCUCAAUUUAGAGGAGGACAGAGGAAGAACAAGUCUUAGUCACAAUAAAACCAAAUCUUUUUACAUAA